rnacentral:rRNA from 1 species
AUGCCUACGGGAGGCAGCAGUGGGGAAUAUUGCACAAUGGGCGAAAGCCUGACGCAGCAACGCCGCGUGAGCGAUGAAGGCCUUCGGGUCGUAAAGCUCUGUCCUCAAGGAAGAUAAUGACGGUACUUGAGGAGGAAGCCCCGGCUAACUACGUGCCAGCAGCCGCGGUACUACGUAGGGGGCUAGCGUUAUCCGGAAUUACUGGGCGUAAAGGGUGCGUAGGUGGUUUCUUAAGUCAGAGGUGAAAGUCUACGGCUCAACCUUAGUAAUCCUUUGAAACUGGGGAACUUGAGUUCAGGAGAGGG